rnacentral:rRNA from 1 species
UACGUAGGGUGCGAGCGUUUGUCCGGAAUUAUUAGGGCGUAAAGAGCGUGUAGGCGGCCAGGUAGGUCUGCUGUGAAAACUCGAGGCUUAACCUCGAGCUGUCGGCGGAAACCAUCUGGCUAGAGUCCGGAAGAGGAGAAUGGAAUUCCCGGUGUAGCGGUGAAAUGCGCAGAUAUCGGGAAGAACACCCGUGGCGAAGGCGGUUCUCUGGGACGGUACUGACGCUGAGACGCGAAAGCGUGGGGAGCGAACAGG